rnacentral:hammerhead_ribozyme from 1 species
AUCCAGCUGACGAGUCCCAUAUUGGACGAAACGCGCGUCAAACUGGAU